rnacentral:lncRNA from 1 species
AUCAAUAGAAAACCCUGUCAGACGUGUUCUUCAUGUUUCUGGGUUACCCAGAAAACUCUGGUCAACACCGGUCAACGACUUUAGUGGUCUUAUUCUGGUCGAUCUGUACAUGUUAUAGGUGUUUUAUACGUCGGGCUAUGUAGUACAACUUACAGAGAACAUGAUUAAAUCAAGUUUCAAGUCUAAACAUCAACAAUACCAAAGAUAUAAAUCAUCA